rnacentral:hammerhead_ribozyme from 1 species
ACCUGGUUGACGAGUCCCAAAUAAAACGAAACGUUUGUCCUGGAU